AGAACGAACGCUGGCGGCACGCCUAACACAUGCAAGUCGAGCGCCCAGCAAUGGGAGCGGCGGACGGGUGAGUAACACGUGGGAAUAUGCCUUUCGGUACGGAACAACUCAGGGAAACUUGAGCUAAUGCCGUAUACGCCCUUACGGGGAAAGAUUUAUCGCCGAAAGAUUAGCCCGCGUCUGAUUAGCUAGUUGGUGAGGUAAUGGCUCACCAAGGCUUCGAUCAGUAGCUGGUUUGAGAGAACGACCAGCCACACUGGGACUGAGACACGGCCCAGACUCCUACGGGAGGCAGCAGUGGGGAAUCUUGGACAAUGGGGGAAACCCUGAUCCAGCGAUGCCGCGUGAGUGAUGAAGGCCUUCGGGUUGUAAACUCUUUCGACGGGGACGAUAAUGACGGUACCCGUAGAAGAAGCUCCGGCUAACUUCGUGCCAGCAGCCGC
rnacentral:rRNA from 1 species